GACGAACGCUGGCGGCGUGCCUAAUACAUGCAAGUUGAGCGCUGAAGGUUGGUACUUGUACCAACUGGAUGAGCAGCGAACGGGUGAGUAACGCGUGGGGAAUCUGCCUUUGAGCGGGGGACAACAUUUGGAAACGAAUGCUAAUACCGCAUAAAAACUUUAAACACAAGUUUUAAGUUUGAAAGAUGCAAUUGCAUCACUCAAAGAUGAUCCCGCGUUGUAUUAGCUAGUUGGUGAGGUAAAGGCUCACCAAGGCGAUGAUACAUAGCCGACCUGAGAGGGGGAUCGGCCACAUUGGGACUGAGACACGGCCCAAACUCCUACGGGAGGCAGCAGUAGGGAAGCUUCGGCAAUGGACGAAAGUCUGACCGAGCAACGCCGCGUGAGUGAAGAAGGUUUUCGGAUCGUAAAACUCUGUUGGUAGAGAAGAACGUUGGUGAGAGUGGAAAGCUCAUCAAGUGACGGUAACUACCCAGAAAGGGACGGCUAACUACGUG
rnacentral:rRNA from 1 species